rnacentral:rRNA from 1 species
UACGUAGGGUGCAAGCGUUAAUCGGAAUUACUGGGCGUAAAGCGUGCGCAGGCGGUUUUGUAAGUUUGUCGUGAAAUCCCCGGGCUCAACCUGGGAAUGGCGAUGAAGACUGCAAGGCUAGAAUCUGGCAGAGGGGGGUAGAAUUCCACGUGUAGCAGUGAAAUGCGUAGAUAUCAGGAGGAACACCUGUGGUGUAGACAGCUUACUGGACCACUUCUGACGCUGAGACACGGGAAGCCGUGGGUAGCAAACAGG